AGCGAACGCUGGCGGCAGGCCUAACACAUGCAAGUCGAACGAAGUCUUCGGACUUAGUGGCGGACGGGUGAGUAACACGUGGGAACGUGCCUUUAGGUUCGGAAUAACUCAGGGAAACUUGUGCUAAUACCGAAUGUGCCCUUCGGGGGAAAGAUUUAUCGCCUUUAGAGCGGCCCGCGUCUGAUUAGCUAGUUGGUGAGGUAAAGGCUCACCAAGGCUACGAUCAGUAGCUGGUCUGAGAGGAUGACCAGCCACAUUGGGACUGAGACACGGCCAAAACUCCUACGGGAGGCAGCAGUGGGGAAUCUUGCGCAAUGGGCGAAAGCCUGACGCAGCCAUGCCGCGUGAAUGAUGAAGGUCUUAGGAUUGUAAAAUUCUUUCACCGGGGACGAUAAUGACGGUACCCGGAGAAGAAGCUCCGGCUAACUUCGUGCCAGCCGCCGCGGUAAGAC
rnacentral:rRNA from 1 species